UAACGAAUAUUCCACAAUGCGCGAAAGCGUGAUGGAGCAAUGCCGCGUGAAGGAUGAAGCAUCUAGGUGUGUAAACUUCUGUCAGGGUUUAGGAAUCCAUGACCAGACCCAAAGGAAGCGCCGGCUAACUCUGUGCCAGCAGCCGCGGUAAUACAGAGGGCUCGAGCGUUAUUCGGAAUCACUGGGCUUAAAGGGUGCGUAGGCGGACGGGUAAGUAUCUUGUGAAAUCCCACGGCUCAACCCUGGAAUUGCUUGGUAGACUGCCCGUCUUGAGCCCGACAGGGGUCUUCAGAACGCUAGGUGUAGCGGUGAAAUGCGUAGAUAUCUAGCGGAAUGCCAAAGGUGAAGACAGACGACUGGGUCGGCGCUGACGCUGAGGCACGAAAGCGUGGGGAGCAAACAGGAUUAGAUACCCCCGUAGUCC
rnacentral:rRNA from 1 species